GUGUUGAGUGUUUCGAAACAAGAAUGUUACGUGAGCUUCAUUGCGUCACCGAGGAAGGUUUCUUCAUCUAGAUUGCAUUCGACAGCCUUCAGUCACGCAAAACAUUUGGCGUCUUGCAGAUCUAUAACAAACAGUGAGUUUUUUUUCAGGUAUCAUUAUGCCAACCGGGUACGGAACUAUUCCAGGGAGUUGUGAUCCCCACAAAUGUCCCCCAAACAGGGUGAAAGAUGUCUGUGUUGGGUUUCUCCGGUUACUUUGUAUAUUGUUCGCGCUCUUGACGUGGACGGCCGGCAUAUUGCUCCUGAUCUACGCUGAAGAUGCAAAAAUGUGUUUUUCACACAGACUGACUGCCACACGUACCCGAUUAUUGGAUUCGCUAGACAAAACUGCCUAACGCCUGGAAACCCGUGAUCUCCUGGGAGCAACAUUGAACCAUGCAGUCAACUUUGGAAUAUUCUUACUGAUGCAUUAUUUAAACUUCUGUUUAAGCACUUUUUAAAACAUUUUAUCUUUUAUAAUUGGUUUUUAACUGUAUUAUUAAACUUUAAAAAUUUGGUGUAACACGUACAAUGUACCCUAAAUAGCUAAAAUAAAUAAAGGCUUUAAAA
rnacentral:lncRNA from 1 species